AGAGUUUGAUCGUGGCUCAGGAUGAACGCUGGCGGCGUGCCUUAAGCAUGCAAGUCGAACGGGAUUAACUUGUUGAUCCAGUGGCAGACGGGUGAGUAAUGCGUACAAAUCUACCCCUCAGAGGAGGAUAACCUUGAGAAAUCAGGGGUAAUCCACCAUAGUUCCUUACUAGGUAAAGAGUGUAACUACUCGCUAAGGGAGGAGUGUGCGUCCCAUCAGCUUGUUGGUGAGGUAAUGGCUCACCAAGGCUACGACGGGUAACUGGUCUGAGAGGAUGGUCAGCCACAAGGGCACUGAAACACGGGCCCUACUCCUACGGGAGGCAGCAGCCAGGAAUAUUGCGCAAUGGGCGAAAGCCUGACGCAGCGACGCCGCGUGCGGGAUGAAGGCCUUCGGGUCGUAAACCGCUAAAUUUUGGCAUCCAGCCAGAAGAUAAGUGCCUACUAACUACGUGCCAGCAGUCGCGGUAAUACGUAGGGCACAAGCGUUAUCCGGAAUUAUUGGGCUUAAAGGGUCCGUAGGUGGUUGGUUAAGUCUUUUGUCAAAGCCUCCAGCCUAUCUGGAGAGAGGCAGAAGAUACUAACUAACUAGAGUAGAUUCGGGGCUACUGGAACUUGCCAUGUAGGGGUGAAAUCCGUGGAUAUGGCAAGGAACACCGAGGGCGAAGGCGGGUAGCUAGGAUCUUACUGACACUCAUGGACGAAAGCUGGGGUAGCAAACCGGAUUAGAGACCCGGGUAGUCCCAGCCGUAAAUGAUGCUCGCUAGCUGGUUUAAUCUUAGGAUCGGACCGGCGAAGCUAAUGCGUUAAGCGAGCCGCCUGGGGAGUACGACCGCAAGGUUGAAACUCAAACGAAUUGACGGGGAGGCGCACAACCAGUGGAGCAUGUGGUUUAAUUCAAUACGAAGCGCUGAACCUUACCUGGGCUAGACCUCCACUUAUGUCUAUCCGAAAGGAAUAGACCCAACGGUGGAUCAGCUGGUGCAUGGCUGUCGUCAGCUCGUGGCGUGAGCCGUUCCCUUUAGUGGGGUAACGAGCGCAACCCCUGCUGUAUGUUAGUAUGUCAUACGGGACUGCCCUGCCUUUUGGCAAGGAGGAAGGAGGGGAUGACGUCAAGUCAGCAUGUCGCUUAUGUCCAGGGCUACACACAUCCUACAAUGGGCCGGACAAUGGGUUGCCAAGUCGCAAGGCGGAGCUAAUCCCAUCAAACCGGUUCUCAGUUGGGAUUGCAGUCUGCAACUCGACUGCAUGAACGUGGAAUUGGUAGUAAUCGGGAAUCAGCAGAUCUCGGUGAAUACGUUCUCGCCUCUUGUACACACUGCCCGUCAACUGAGCCGAGUUGACAAUACCCGAAGUUCCGCUUUGGCGGGAUUAAGGUGGGGUCAGCAAGGAGCGGUAAGUCGUAACAAGGUA
rnacentral:rRNA from 1 species